rnacentral:rRNA from 1 species
GCUAGUAAUGGCAGGUCAGCAUACUGCCGUGAAUACGUUCCCGGGCCCUUGUACACACCGCCCGUCACACCAUGAGAGUUGGGGAUACCCGAAGCCUGUGAGCCAACUAUAUAGAGGCAGCAGUCGAAGGUAGAAUCAAUGAUUGGGGUGAAGUCGUAACAAGGUAAC